AGGGUUUGAUCAUGGCUCAGGAUAAACGCUGGCGGCGCACAUAAGACAUGCAAGUCGAACGAACUUAAUUGAGAGCUUGCUCUCAAAGCGGUUAGUGGCGGACUGGUGAGUAACACGUAAGCAACCUGCCUAUUAGAGGGGAAUAACAGCGAGAAAUCGUUGCUAAUACCGCAUAUGCUGUGAGUAUCGCAUGAUACAAGCAGGAAAGGAGUAAUUCGCUAAUAGAUGGGCUUGCGUCUGAUUAGUUAGUUGGUGGGGUAACGGCCUACCAAGACGAUGAUCAGUAGCCGGACUGAGAGGUUGAACGGCCACAUUGGGACUGAGAUACGGCCCAGACUCCUACGGGAGGCAGCAGUCGGGAAUAUUGCGCAAUGGAGGAAACUCUGACGCAGUGACGCCGCGUGCAGGAAGAAGGUUUUCGGAUUGUAAACUGCUUUUAACAGGAAAGAAAAAAUGACGGUACCUGUUGAAUAAGCUCCGGCUAACUACGUGCCAGCAGCCGCGGUAAUACGUAGGGAGCGAGCGUUAUCCGGAUUUAUUGGGUGUAAAGGGUGCGUAGACGGAAAUGCAAGUUAGUUGUGAAAUACCUCGGCUUAACUGAGGAACUGCAACUAAAACUAUAUUUCUUGAGUAUCGGAGGGGUUUGUGGAAUUCCUAGUGUAGCGGUGAAAUGCGUAGAUAUUAGGAAGAACACCGGUGGCGAAGGCGACAAACUGGACGAUAACUGACGUUGAGGCACGAAAGUGUGGGGAGCAAACAGGAUUAGAUACCCUGGUAGUCCACACCGUAAACGAUGGAUACUAGGUGUUGGCAAUGAAUAAUUGUCGGUGCCGGCGCUAACGCAAUAAGUAUCCCACCUGGGGAGUACGACCGCAAGGUUGAAACUCAAAGGAAUUGACGGGGGCCCGCACAAGCAGUGGAGUAUGUGGUUUAAUUCGAUGCUACGCGG
rnacentral:rRNA from 1 species